GUUUCCGUAGUGAACCUGCGGAAGGAU
rnacentral:rRNA from 1 species